UGAUCGGGAGGUCCUGAUAUC
rnacentral:piRNA from 1 species